rnacentral:rRNA from 1 species
CCUACGGGUGGCAGCAGUCGAGAAUCAUUCACAAUGGGGGAAACCCUGAUGGUGCGACGCCGCGUGGGGGAAUGAAGGUCUUCGGAUUGUAAACCCCUGUCAUGUGGGAGCAAAUUAAAAAGAUAGUACCACAAGAGGAAGAGACGGCUAACUCUGUGCCAGCAGCCGCGGUAAUACAGAGGUCGCAAGCGUUGUUCGGAAUCACUGGGCGUAAAGCGUGCGUAGGCUGUUUCGUAAGUCGUGUGUGAAAGGCGCGGGCUCAACCCGCGGAGGGCAGAUGAAACUGCGAGACUAGAGUGAUGGAGGGGGAACCGGAAUUCUCGGUGUAGCAGUGAAAUGCGUAGAUAUCGAGAGGAACACUCGUGGCGAAGGCGGGUUCCUGGACAUUAACUGACGCUGAGGCACGAAGGCCAGGGGAGCGAAAGGGAUUAGAUACCCGAGUAGUC